rnacentral:rRNA from 1 species
CUGAAUCAGUGUGUGUGUUAGUGGAAGCGUCUGGAAAGGCGCGCGAUACAGGGUGACAGCCCCGUACACAAAAAUGCACAUGCUGUGAGCUCGAUGAGUAGGGCGGGACACGUGGUAUCCUGUCUGAAUAUGGGGGGACCAUCCUCCAAGGCUAAAUACUCCUGACUGACCGAUAGUGAACUAGUACCGUGAGGGAAAGGCGAAAAGAACCCCGGCGAGGGGAGUGAAAAAGAACCUGAAACCGUGUACGUACAAGCAGUGGGAGCAUGCUUAGGCGUGUGACUGCGUACCUUUUGUAUAAUGGGUCAGCGACUUAUAUUCUGUAGCAAGGUUAACCGAAUAGGGGAGCCGAAGGGAAACCGAGUCUUAACUGGGCGUUAAGUUGCAGGGUAUAGACCCGAAACCCGGUGAUCUAGCCAUGGGCAGGUUGAAGGUUGGGUAACACUAACUGGAGGACCGAACCGACUAAUGUUGAAAAAUUAGCGGAUGACUUGUGGCUGGGGGUGAAAGGCCAAUCAAACCGGGAGAUAGCUGGUUCUCCCCGAAAGCUAUUUAGGUAGCGCCUCGUGAAUUCAUCUCCGGGGGUAGAGCACUGUUUCGGCAAGGGGGUCAUCCCGACUUACCAACCCGAUGCAAACUGCGAAUACCGGAGAAUGUUAUCACGGGAGACACACGGCGGGUGCUAACGUCCGUCGUGAAGAGGGAAACAACCCAGACCGCCAGCUAAGGUCCCAAAGUCAUGGUUAAGUGGGAAACGAUGUGGGAAGGCCCAGACAGCCAGGAUGUUGGCUUAGAAGCAGCCAUCAUUUAAAGAAAGCGUAAUAGCUCACUGGUCGAGUCGGCCUGCGCGGAAGAUGUAACGGGGCUAAACCAUGCACCGAAGCUGCGGCAGCGACGCUUAUGCGUUGUUGGGUA